rnacentral:rRNA from 1 species
CCCUUAGAUGUUCUGGGCCGCACGCGCGCUACACUGAUGCAUUCAACAAGCCUAGCCUUGACCGAGAGGUCCGGGUAAUCUUUGAAACUGCAUCGUGAUGGGGCUAGAUUAUUGCAAUUAUUAAUCUUCAACGAGGAAUGCCUAGUAAGCGUGAUUCAUCAAAUCGCGUUGAUUACGUCCCUGCCCUUUGUACACACCGCCCGUCGCUCCUACCGAUUGAAUGUGUUGGUGAGGAGCUCGGAUUGGCAGCAGUUGGUGGUUCGCCACCGGCUAUUGCUGAGAAGUCCUCCAAACCGCCCCAUUUAGAGGAAGGAGAANCCGUAACA